GCGAUCCGGUAAGCUCACUCGGAAGAGCACCCGCUCUGUGAGCGGGAGAUCCCGUGUUCGAGUCCCGACCUUCCA
rnacentral:tRNA from 1 species